rnacentral:rRNA from 1 species
CCCUUAGAUGUCCUGGGCCGCACGCGCGUUACACUGAUGCAUUCAACGAGCGUAUAACCUUGGCCGAGAGGCCUGGGCAAUCUUGUUAACGUGCAUCGUGAUAGGGAUAGAUUAUUGAAAUUAUUAAUCUUGAACGAGGAAUUCCUAGUAAACGCAGAUCAUCAAUCUGCAUUGAUUACGUCCCUGCCCUUUGUACACACCGCCCGACGCACCUACCGAUUGGAUGGUCCGGUGAAGCCUCGGGAUUGUGGUUCUUGCCGCUUUAUUGUGGCGUGACCGCGAGAACUUGUCUAAACCUUAUCAUCUAGAGGAAGGUGAAGUCGUAACA